GUUCCUGCUUCGAUAUGAGGCCUGGCUUUCGCGGCCGGCUGAAGUAUUUUUUUCACCCAUGUCUUUUGCGCACUUGUUGUUUCCUGGGCGGGUUCGCCCGCCACCAGGACCAAACCAUAAACCUUUUUUUCUUAUGCAGUUUCCAUCAGCGUCAGUAAAAACAAUGUAAUUAUUACAACUUUCAACAACGGAUCUCUUGGUUCUGGCAUCGAUGAAGAACGCAGCGAAAUGCGAUACGUAGUGUGAAUUGCAGAAUUCAGUGAAUCAUCGAAUCUUUGAACGCACAUUGCGCCCUUUGGUAUUCCAAAGGGCAUGCCUGUUCGAGCGUCAUUUGUACCUUCAAGCUUUGCUUGGUGUUGGGCGUUUUUUUGUCUCCCUCUUUCUGGGAGACUCGCCUUAAAACGAUUGGCAGCCGGCCUACUGGUUUCGGAGCGCAGCACAUUUUUUGCGCUUUGUAUCAGGAGAAAAGGACGGUACUCCAUCAAGACUCUACAUUUUUCACUUUUGACCUCGGAUCAGGUAGGGAUACCCGCUGAACUUAAGCAUAUCAAUAAGCCGGAGGAA
rnacentral:rRNA from 1 species